rnacentral:misc_RNA from 1 species
AUCGCGUGUUGCCGCACGAGCCGGACCGCGAGUUGAUCCAACACUCCCUUCGAAUCAGGUCCCCGAUCGAUGUAGUCGCCGAGAUAGACCUCAACUGCAUAGUUGAUAGGCCUGCGUCGCAGAUCGUCCUCAAUGCGGCCGAUCGUCUCGGCCAGCAAGUCUGCACGGCCGUGAACAUCGCCAACGGCGUAGACUCGCAUACCCGCGGGCACUGCAGCUGGGAUAGUCCGUGGCUGAUGGAGAGAACCGGAUCGCAUCG